AAUGAAUGAAGCUGUCUUUAAACAAAUGGAAAAUGUCUCCCUUUUGCAGACUGGAUUAAAGCUACCCAGCACCUGAUGGAAAGUCAAGACGAAUGGCUCAGAAAAUCCAUUAUGUUUCUGAAGUGAUGCUCCACGUGAUACAGGCUGCAUCUGAAGUACUAGGAUUCCUGACCAGAAUGGAUUAUGUAUGCUGAAUAGGCCAAUCUUGUGAAAGAGACUGUAUCAAUGUCUUCAUCUGAAAAAAAGGAAGGAUGCAAAAGGAAGAGGAAGAUAACAGAAAGAAAAGUGUGAAAGAGUGGAUAUAUAUAACUGAUAAACAUGGACAACUUUAUCUCCUCCCAGUUCCAGUGUGGCAGCCAGAGGAUGUAACUCAGGAGGAAAAAACAUUCAGCUUCUGGGGAGACAUAUCCUAGUCAGCUCACUGGCGCUCAUCAUCACACUAUACAAAGAGUUGGGGCAUUUGAGCUAAGGUUUCAGUUAUUGGUUGCUGUGAGAACAGUUAGACUCAUUACAAUCCAAUUUUUUUAAAGCUUCACAAGUUCCAGGAGUCUAACGCAGAAGCUGGAAUUUUCCUACAGUGGAAGAAAUGACCCUUCACCCCUCCAGUUUGAAAUCACAAGGGAGGUGAAGGGAUACACCACACCAGAGGCUGACGGUCAAAUGGAAGAACAGCAAUCACCAGAGCCAGUUGUCUCUACCGGAGAGCAUCAGUCAGGAAGGAGCUGACAACUGAGCUGCCCUGGGGAAGGAAGCUUCUCAGAAAUAAUUUUAUCAGGGGAGAAUAAUUUCAGUGAACCUGCUAUUCAAAGUUGCUGAAGGUUUUGCUUUGCUUCAUGAGAACAUCAUAAAGUAUGUGCAAGACAACCAGAGGAUCAGGCCCAGUCAGCAUGGAUUCAUGAAAAAGAGGUGAUCUUUUGUACAGAAGAAUACAAACCACCCAAGUUCGACUCCUGACUGCCUUGCAGAGGGAUCCUUUUCUCUCUGCUGAGGGACCUGAUUUUGACACCGAAGUUGGAAUAUGCCAGGACAAACAUCUCAAUAAACAGACACUUAGAUGAGUGUGUUGAAACUAAUUCUGAAAAUAAUCUCUCCUGAUGCAGGCAUUUCUUUCUGUAAAGCUUAUUUCACACUUCACAGGUCACUUCACCUGAAACCACCAUUUUCACACCUUCUUUGUAUGGUUGUUACUCACAGACAACAGUUAUAGGACCAGGCUAUAGGUGAACUGCCACACUGGGGCAAGAUCUCACGCUCACAGAGCUGAGUACACAUCCGGUCACAUUCAUACUUAUGUCAGAUUAAAGGAUGUGGGUUUAUAGUUUAGUUUCUGAUACAGAGAUUUUGGCAAGCUUAUUAUUUGGGAAUUCGUUUGCUAAUAUUUUUAGUCUGAAUUAACUUGACCUAUGUUCGUAUCUUCUCAAAGGAAAUAGUAGAUAUUGGUUUUUGUUAAAUGCAGAAUUGUUAGACUGCUUUUAUUUUCCUAUGCUAUUUCUUUUCUUAUCAUACCAGAAUUUUCUGUUUGAAAGAACCUCCAGUUUUCUACCACCAAACUGUCAUGGAGCUCAUUACCUCCGAUGAGUGAAAAAACCUGCCUGUCGGGGAUAGCACGUGAGAACAUGUGGGCUGAAGUCGCCCUGUGGCAGAGAGGGCAAAACUAAAUCAAGGUCUCCUUGAUCCCGAGAACAUCAGCUCACUUGGCAUUGAUGAGAACACCACACCGUGAUUCUCCACCCCCAGUCAAAAAGGACUUCUUCUUGCGCAGCUUUUGAAAGAAAGAGUUUGGCACCUUUGCAUUCUGGGCAAUGGAUGGAGGCUGAGCUUCAAAUAUUGCUGAAGAGAAUACAGAGCCAGUGAAGAGUCACCCCAUAUCAGGUGGAAGCAUAAAAUAUACAGAGCCAAAUGUUUCAAGGAGAGUCUGUAUCUCCUUCAUCACUGCUUGCCAGGCACAGCCCACAUAGUCCCUGUGGCAUCAAGCUGUAGAAGCAGGUCUGGCAUCCGCAUGUUCUGCAGAGCAGGAAGCAAGACAAAGCAUAAGGUCAGUGAG